ACCUGCUCCCCUCGGGACCAAGACCAGAGGAAUUUAAUAUACUGCCUUUCCCUUCAACUAAUAACCCAAGCUGCCCAAGAAUGGGAGGCCUCUGCUGUCCUGGGAGGGCUCCAUCCUGCAGAUAUGAGUGAGGGGCUGUCCGUUCAGCCUCCAGAAACCAAGAAUCUCACGCCUGCGUAUAACAGGGAAACCCACCCUGUACAGGCCGACUUUGGAAAAGGAGCUCAGAUGGAAAUACCCAUAGUUUGCUAGCUGGGCAUUGUUGAAGGAUGUGUCAAGGAUGGUGCCAGAUCUCAGGAACUAGAGAAGGCUACCUGAGAGGACUCCUGGGAGGAUUAGCUACAUACCCAUGUGCAGAGCCAGCUCCAGGGAUCAUAGGGUUCUGUGUCAGAGGCCACCCAAGCCAGUCUGCAUUCUCUCAUGACAUGACGUCCCUCAUGACUGAAGACACAGCCUUCCAUCCCAAGGCUCACUGUUUUUCCACACUUCCUGCCUCCUGUGCCCCACUGAUUGCUGCCUGGUCUCUUACCCCACUUUCGGUCGUCCCCUCUGGCAGCUCUGGAGCGUGAGUCUGUCCUCCCACGUGGCCUGGUGACUUCUUUCCUACUUCCUUCCCUUAUGAGUUCUGGCCUCCCCCAGCUCCCAGCCUUUCUGGAAGCUCUAGUCCCAACGCUGUGGACAGAAACAUCAUUUAUUCUCCAGAGGGGGAAGAGACCGAGUACGGCUUACACAGCAUCUGGCCAGUGGCAUUGCCUGGGAAGUCCUCCCUGCCUACCCUUGGUGGUCAGUAUCUCUUUCUCCUCGACCUCCAGGCUUCUACUGCUGAAGCUUGGAGAGUUUGCGGGACUGGACUUCUGGGGCCAGGCAGAGAGAGGCAAAGCCAGCCUGGGGACUCAGAGCCUCUGAGAUGCCAGGCCUCAAGCCUAACCCUGGAAGGACAAGCAAGAAACUGGGCUUUCCUGCUGGGGGGAAGGCACAGGCUGGAGUGUCUCAGGGAGGGAAGAGAGCCAUGAUCCAAGUCACCUCCUCAGUGCCACGCCCACUUUAUGUCACUGUCCCAGGCCCUGGUGAGCUGUCCUGCUGGAUCCACCCAGAGUACCUAGAUAAAGGUCUCUAACUGUUGAGGUGCAUGUGUGGGUUUCCUGACUGUCACAGUGGCCCCCCCGUAAAGAGGGGAGGUGCCAUCUUCCCCUUUUACAGAACCUCAGCUCCUUCUGCUUAAGGGAAAGAGCCAGAGAGGACCUCCUGAUUUCCUCCAUGACCAACUUGCCCAUUUUUUCCCCAGGUCUCAGGUCACUGGGGUCUGUGAACAAGCAGGAUUGUGAUAUCCCCGGACAUAUUGACAUCACAGUCCUCCCUACUUCAGUUGAUACUGUUUGCUCUGAAACCGGCUACCCCUAAUCAGCUGCACCAGCCUCUCCAGCCGUCGUCACCAGAUAUGAUGAACUUUACCUUGUUGAGUGUUGGGUGUCUUGUUUUGCUAGCUGCCUAUUUGCAGGCUCCAUUCUGGGACACAGCUAAGCCCCUUGGAAGCACUCAGCUCUAUUGAAGCUCUGCCUUAAGAAUUUCAUCCUUGAGACAGGAGCAGUCUGGUUCAUCUUUCCCUUCCAUGGAAAAGCUCUCUUCUCUGGUGCUGUGGGCUGAGGAUUCCAGACACCUUGGUCUCCUGAAAUGUCAGCUUUGUCAGCUGACCUCCAGGCUUUGCUGGGCUUGGAGAACGAUGUUCUUCCCAGGCCCGUGGACUGGAAAUUCCGGGCUGCAUGCCAGGGCGACUGUGGGUUCACUUCAUUUGUUCCCCAUCUCUCUUCAUUGCCUGAUGUCCCAUCUUUGUAAAGUGCUAUAUUAUAUACCAUCAGCCUCCGUCCCCACGAGUCCCUCAUCCAAGAAUAAGAAAAGCUGCAAGAGACUCGAUCUGGAGGCUAGCCCAGCUACAGAUCUGGAGGCUAGCCCAGCUCCAGGCCUGUCACUGUAUUCCUUGAAGUUUCAGAUCUGAAAACAUCUAGACCUAGCUCCAGAUACAGGGAAUUCCCUUCCCCUCGCCAGGUCCUCCUUCCCUGUGCACCCCAAGACAUCAGUGCUUGUGGAGGACCCUGGAAGCAAGCUCCUGCAGGUAUCCAGGGAAAAGCCAUCUGUCUAUUGGAGUGUGGUGGUAACUGAGACAGGGUCUAGAAUCAGCUGGGAGAGAGAACUCUGGCACACCUUGAUUAUAUUAAUUGAUCUGAGAAGAUACAUCUUAACUGUGGGCGGGAUCCUGGACUGUAUAAAUGGAGAAAGUUAGUAGGCAGCCAUGUGCACUCAUUCCCCUGGUGCCGGAUUGUGGAUGCGAUGUGACCAGCUGCUUGGACCUCUGCUGCCUUGACUUCCCCCAUGGCGACGGAUUGUCCCUUGGAGCUGUGCAUUAGUUACUGUCUACCGCUGUGAUGUAACAUCAUUUUCAAGGCUUAUGAUCCCAGGGAGAUGAGUCCAUGAUGACACGAACAGAGGCGUGGCAGCUGGAGCUGGAAGCAGAGCCUCACAUCCAAAUCACAGGCAGGAAACAGAGAACUCAAGCUGGGGGUGGGCGGGCCGUAAACUCUCGGAGCCCGCCCCUAAUGAUGCGCUGCCUCCAACAAGGCCACACCUCCUAAGCGUCCCCAAACUCUGUGGAUCAUAUCUUAUUCAAACCACCACAAACAGGUAGGCUAAAAUAAGCCCUUUCUCGCUCGGUUGCUUUUGUCCUAGUAUCCUGUCACUGACGUAGUUAAAGAAAUCAAGACAACAAAGGGAAAGUGACUCUCAUCCCCGCCGCUCCCUCUCAUUGCUGAAAGAAAAGCACCAAGCUACAACAAUUCCCCCAUUGUUUAAGUGGGAAAACUGAGGCUCUGAGGUACAGAAAUUUUCACUAUGUCCUACAGCAAGUUGGGACGUCUAGAACCUGCUUCACCCCCUCUGUGGGAUUCCCCACCCAAGAGAUCACUUGCAGAUAGUUCCCAGAAGGCAGUUUUAGGCAUGGAACCCCCCUUGCCACACAGUGCAGUGGAGUUAGGGGUGUGACAGGUACUUUUCCCCACUCUGUCCCCAACCCUUCCUCAGUACAGCUCUGUGGGAAGCUAAGUGUCACCUGACACCUCCAGCUACAGGAAGUACUUCAGGAAGCCUACCAGUGCACACAGAGUUGAGCAUAUAAGUAAUCAUGGAGAUUUUCUUCAUUCGUGCAGUUGUGAGCAUCCUGACCUGUCAUACAGGACCAUGGCCGUCCUCUGAGAGGCUUCAUCCAGCAGCUGACUGAGACAGAUGCAGACACCCACAGCCUAACAGUGGAUGGAGCUUGGGGACUCUUAUGGAAGAAUCAGAGGAAGGAUUGUGGGUCCCAACGGAGGAUCCCAUCCCAGGGAAAUCUACCCAACCAUCCCUCCCCCGUGCAGAUAAAGCAACAAUGAGAAGCCCUGAGAUACACUCCUCAUCAUCCCCCAAAGGUGAAAUAAAUCUUUCUAGCUGUGACCAGUGGACAUCUCCUGCCCCCUGCCCCUGCCAUGGUAGUGCUCAUCAGCGGAGGGAACAGGAACAGGUGAGUACUGGAAGACGGUACACUGUGUGUUAAGGGCUGUGCUUGGCGACCUGCUGAGCAGGGACUGAUCAGAAGGAGCAGGAGUACAGAGGCCUGAAGCGUGGCGGUCUGCUGGUGCUGGAGCCCCAGGUUCUCACCUCUGAGUAAGGAGUACCUGGGAACAGAGGUAGCCACCAGCUGCCCAUCCCAGGCCCUCUCAGGGGACUCACCUAUCUGGGUGCUGGGAGGUGAGGCGGUCCCACCCACUGCCUGAUGUGUGCUUUCUUGGUGCAGACCAGAGCCACUGGGCAUCCCCUCCUCUGGUCUCCCCUUGCCUGACCUCACCUGCAACCUCCUCCAUGCCUGUUGAUGGUCUUUUAGGGAACUCCACGAACCAGCCUUAUGCCCUUGAGUCUGGAAGCUGACAGUGUGACCACUAAGACCCUCUUAUGAGAGGCCAGGGAGAGGAUACCUUCCAGAUCUCUGUAUGAACAGCGCCUCCACCAGGAACAGGCAGAGGGUUUCCUGCACUGUCCCUGAGAGACUGGCACUUAGGUCCAGAGGCAGAGGCAGAGUUUUGCUUUGGUGGCAGGUGAGCCCCUCUCUCCUUCUGUCCUGGGGUUUCUAUUGCCGCAGUGAGACACCACGACCAAAAAGCAAGUUGGAGAGGAAAGGGUUAUUUAGCCUGCAGUUCCAUACUGCUGUUCAUCAUCAAAGGAAGUCAGGGCAUAAAAAUGGUCCCCGUAGGCUCAUAGCAGGUAGCACUAUUAGUGGGUGUGGCCUAGUUGGAGUGGGUGUGGCUUUAUUGGAGGAAGUGUGUCACUAGAGGUGGGCUUUGGGGUUUCAGAUGCUCAAGCCAGGCCCAGUGUCAUGUUCUCUUCCAGCUGCCUGCUGUUCUAGCAGCAUGUCUGCAUGUCACCAUGCUUCCCGACAUGAUGAUAAUGGACUGAACCUCUGAACCUCUAAGCCGGCCCCAAUUAAAUGUUGUCCUUC
rnacentral:lncRNA from 1 species